GCGUCUGCCGGCAGGCGGCGUGAUGACGCGAGCGCGGGGCGUGCUCGGCAGUAGGCAUGGCUGGCGGCUAUGGUGAGGUCUCUCCUAGGUGUUGUCGUCGUCAUCCGGGGCCAUCGAGGGUCCUAGGCCGUGCCUGCCGCCUGCUGAAGCCAGGUGGACCACCCUCGACUCCUCCGCAGCAGAUCCUCUGUAAGAUGCACUGCAUCCAUGUGGCUGACGGGCUACCAUGUCACCUUUCCCGGUUCCUGACAGGCGUGGCUUCCGCAGCAGACUAUGCUCUGUGUUCCUGCCCCAGUACAUGACAGGUGUUUCAGCAGCAGAAAUCUCAGGAUGUCUGAGCUAGAAGAGACCUGAGAGAGAAUCCCUUCAGUGGCUGACAAGUUGUUCAUGGGAUCUGCAGUGCUGAGGAAGUGGAAGCUGAUGUUGUGACCUGCCCAUGUUGGCACACCUGGUGACCGUGCAGCAGAACUUGAACCCAGGCCUUUGCGCUUCAGUUCUCUGAGCAGGUUUGGUGCCAUGCAUGCCGUCUGCUUCCAGAAUAAGGAUCCUCGCUGUACUUCAGGACUCAGGCCCCUCUGGCAUCUGAAUGAGAAUAUAUGGUUACUUUUAAUAUUUAAUAAAAUGGCUUUAAAUGUAUAA